UACGUAGGGUCCGAGCGUUGUCCGGAAUUAUUGGGCGUAAAGGGCUCGUAGGCGGUUUGUCGCGUCUGCCGUGAAAGUCCGGGGCUCAACUCCGGAUCUGCGGUGGGUACGGGCAGACUAGAGUGAUGUAGGGGAGACUGGAAUUCCUGGUGUAGCGGUGAAAUGCGCAGAUAUCAGGAGGAACACCGAUGGCGAAGGCAGGUCUCUGGGCAUUAACUGACGCUGAGGAGCGAAAGCAUGGGGAGCGAACAGG
rnacentral:rRNA from 1 species